rnacentral:rRNA from 1 species
GAUGAACGCUGGCGGCGUGCCUAAUACAUGCAAGUCGAGCGAACAGACGAGGAGCUUGCUCCUCUGACGUUAGCGGCGGACGGGUGAGUAACACGUGGAUAACCUACCUAUAAGACUGGGAUAACUUCGGGAAACCGGAGCUAAUACCGGAUAAUAUAUUGAACCGCAUGGUUCAAUAGUGAAAGACGGUUUUGCUGUCACUUAUAGAUGGAUCCGCGCCGCAUUAGCUAGUUGGUAAGGUAACGGCUUACCAAGGCGACGAUGCGUAGCCGACCUGAGAGGGUGAUCGGCCACACUGGAACGGAGACACGGUCCAGACUCCUACGGGAGGCAGCAGUAGGGAAUCUUCCGCAAUGGGCGAAAGCCUGACGGAGCAACGCCACGUGAGUGAUGAAGGUCUUCGGAUCGUAAAACUCUGUUAUUAGGGAAGAACAAAUGUGUAAGUAACUAUGCACGUCUUGACGGUACCUAAUCAGAAAGCCACGGCUAACUACGUG